rnacentral:rRNA from 1 species
AUUUUUAUUUAAAAAUAAAACCUGCCCAUUGAUUUUAAUUUAAAGGCCGCAGUAUUUUGACUGUGCUAAGGUAGCAUAAUCAUUAGAUUUUUAAUUAAAAUCUUGAAUGAAUGGUUUAAUGAAAUAAAAUCUUUUUUAUUGAUGAUAUUGAAUUUUAUUUUUUAGUUAAAAAGCUAAAAUAAAUUAAAGGGACGAGAAGACCCUAUAGAAUUUUAUAUUUUAAAUAAUAAUUUAAAUUUAAUAUUAUUUUAAUUUAAUAUUUAAAAUAUUUUAUUGGGGUGAUAAUAAAAUUUAAUUAACUUUUAUAAUUAAAUUCAUUAAUAUAUGUAUUAAUGAUCUUUUUUUAUUGAUUAGAAAUUUAAAUUACCUUAGGGAUAACAGCAUAAUAUUAUUAAGAAGUUCUUAUUUUUAAUAUUGUUUAUGACCUCGAUGUUGGAUUAAAUAAAAUUAUUAUAUGUAGAAAUAUAAUUAAUUAGUCUGUUCGACUUUUGAUUAUUUACAUGAUC